AAACUUAAAUGAAUUGACGGGGACCCGCACAAGCGGUGGAUGAUGUGGUUUAAUUCGAUGCAACGCGAAAACUUACCCACCUUUGACAUGUACGGAAUCCUUUAGAGAUAGAGGAGUGCUCGAAAGAGAGCCGUAACACAGGUGCUGCAUGGCUGUCGUCAGCUCGUGUCGUGAGAUGUUGGGUUAAGUCCCGCAACGAGCGCAACCCUUGUCAUUAGUUGCUACAUUUGGUUGGGCACUCUAAUGAGACUGCCGGUGACAAGCCGGAGGAAGGUGGGGAUGACGUCAAGUCCUCAUGGCCCUUAUAGGUGGGGCUACACACGUCAUACAAUGGCUGGUACAAAGGGUUGCCAACCCGCGAGGGGGAGCUAAUCCCACAAAGCCAGUCGUAGUCCGGAUCGUAGUCUGCAACUCGACUACGUGAAGUCGGAAUCGCUAGUAAUCGUGGAUCAGAAUGUCACGGUGAAUACGUUCCCGGGUCUU
rnacentral:rRNA from 1 species